GGAUCAGGUAGGGAUACCCGCUGAACUUAAGCAUAUCAUAGUCCGGAGGAAGG
rnacentral:rRNA from 1 species